CGGCGGCGGCGAGCCGGGCCUGCUGCCUCCCGGGCACGUGCGGGCGCACGCCGGGGCUCCGGGAACACGCCCCGGGCGUCCCGGAAGGUGUCCGCCGCCGCGGCCGGGCGGAGAGUGCGGCGGGGGGCGAUCGCGGCGGCGGCGCCGGUCCUCUUCCGGGCGGGAUGCCUGCCUGCGGACGCGGCGCGCACGCCCGGGCGGGACCACCCGCUCGCACCUGUGCGCCGGUGCCGGGAGCCCGGGAGUGCGCCUGGGUGUCGUUCACUGCAGAGCUGUGCCGGAAGGGAGAAGACCGGUUAUCAGUGAAACGAAUCUGUGGGGUUGUCUUCGUUACGUCAGCGCUGUGUUACUUGCCGGGCUUAGAAAGCGAGGGAGGGGUCUGCCUGGCUGUUUUGGUUCCCCCUCACCAGAUUUCCAGAUAAAAUGGAGAAAAGAGACUAGUGCCGUGGAGUCACCACCCAAGAAACGUCAGGAAACCGAGCAGAACUCCUCCAGAGGCUUGUGUGGGCAUCUGAACACCUGAGAUUCAGGGUCACUCAUUUUGAGGUGUGUACACGCAGGCUGCUCUCAAAGAGGCCGGGUUCACUCCAGAGGAGUUCCUUGUAGCCUCAGGUGGAGCUGGCCUGAGCUUUGCUUUGGCUCCCCAUGCUGCAGGCCGCGGGGGACAGUCCCCACCAACAGGCAGGCUCCCAUGCUGCAGGCCGAGGGUGACAGUCCCCACGUGCAACAGGCAGGCUCCCCAUGCUGCAAGCCGCGGGGGACAGUCCCCACUUGCAACAGGCAGGCUCCCCAUGCUGCAGGCCGAGGGUGACAGUCCCCACUUGCAACAGGCAGGCUCCCCAUGCUGCAGGCCGAGGGUGACAGUCCCCACUUGCAACAGGCAGGCUCCCCAUGCUGCAGGCCGAGGGUGACAGUCCCCACUUGCAACAGGCAGGCUCCCCAUGCUGCAGGCCGAGGGUGACAGUCCCCACUUGCAACAGGCAGGCUCCUCAUGCUGCAGGCCGAGGGUGACAGUCCCCGCUUGCAACAGGCAGGCUCCUCAUGCUGCAGGCCGAGGAUGACAGUCCCCGCUUGCAACAGGCAGGCUCCCCAUGCUGCAGGCCGAGGGUGACAGUCCCCGCUUGCAACAGGCAGGCUCCCCGUGCUGCAGGCGGAGGGUGACAGUCCUCACUUGCAACAGGCAGGCUCCUCAUGCUGCAGGCGGAGGGUGACAGUCCCCGCUUGCAACAGGUAGGCUUCCCAUGCUGCAGGCGGAGGGUGAAAGUCCUCACUUGCAACAUAGGCUCUGGAUUAUCUCCUGGGGGUGGCAAGUGUAGCGCGGAGGUGGAGGUGAUAAUCACAGCUGCUAUAUACUGCACUGGCAUAGUCCAGUCAGUCGGUUACUGUUAGCUCAUUAGUUGUGGCAACAAACUGCCCGAGGGUGUACUUGCAUUGUCUCUGCUUUAUAGAUGUGGAAAUAGAAGCAUGGCAGUUUGUGUGAUGUCAGACAGCUGAAGUGUCCACGUGGGAUUGGAACUUCUGUUAAAAUUGCCUAGCCUUGCGGAAGGAUAAGUUGUGGGUGGGCAGACACAGUUACAGAAUAUUAGGCACAGUUUCAGCUACUGGAGGCCUGGUCAAUUUCUGGUUUUUCAUGUCUCUUGGUUUGCCUAUGGCAAUUGAAAUAGGCAAGUGUUUGAAAACUGGAAAGAGGUUGGUAGGGCAAGGAUCUCAGAUUAAGGAAGAGAACACCUAAAUUCAGGCAGUUAACGCAGGUCACGGCAGCCAGCAUAGUGGCUUGGUGGGUUAAUCAUCUUGUGGUGCAGGCAUCCCAUAUCAGAGUGCUAGUUUGACUCCCAGCUGCUCUGCUUCCAAUCUAGCUUCCUGCUAGUACACAUGGGAAGGUAGCGGUUGAUGGGCUAAGUUUUGGGGCCCCUGCCACCCACAUGGGAGACCUAGAUGGAGUUCCUGGCUCUUGAUUUUGUCCUGACUGAGACCUGGCUGUUGUGGACAUUUGGAGAGUAAACCUGCAGAUGGAAGAUUCUUUGUCUCUUCCUAUCUCUGUCACUCUAUCUUUCAAAUAAAUAAAUAGAUCUUAAAAAUAAAAAAAGAAGGCUUAAGGGCCUAUAUAUUGACCUCUCCUUUUUUUCUAUUACUAGGAACCUAAGUGCAGAUGAUUCAUUUUUCCUAAUUUCUCAGACUGGCUCUGAAACUCACAUGUUUACCAAAUUUACAUAAUCUCUUGAAAGCAGAUUUUUUUCAGUAUCAUCAAGAAAUCAGUUAAGAUGUUGAUGGGCUAUAUUAGUAUGGCUUAUAAUAAUUUAAGUAUGAACCACUGCAAGUAAGAAAUCUGACCUUAUUUAGACCAUUAAAAGUGGUCAACUGGUUGGUACUGAGUGGCCAGAAGUGUGUGGAUGUGGCCUCUUCCUCUAGUUUGUCCGUAGACUGUCCAGGGGAAUGUUCUGGAAGCAUGCUCAGCAUACCAUCCCCUGACCGUGAUGUUUUCUCUCUCCGCUUCAUCCCAUCUGUAGAUACCUGCUAUCUCAGUGUUCAUAACUUGGUUCCUAGAUCUGUCUUCCGUGCCGUGUCCUUGUUUGCCGUUACACUGGCUUCUGCAGUCUCUGAAUUCUUUUGCUGCCACAUAAAUAGUUGCUGAUGGAGCUUGUUCUAUGCUUUUUGUUUCUCUCUUAGGACAGUGACUCCCGACCUGGGUAUCAAGGGUCUCUGGAGGACUGUGACAUUAACAUAGAGUCCAUCCUUAUUGCACAUUUUCUUAAUACAACUGGAUGAGAAGUUAUCCAGCUACCCAGUCUGCUGGGCACUUUAUAUAUAUCCCCGCCUAUGAGGCAGGUGUAUCUUGUAUCCCCAUUUUACACCAUAGUAAGUGAGCUUAAGUAUGUUCUUUGAGCUCAUAUACCUCAUGAUUGGCAGAGCUGAGAUCUGAACCCAAGAGUCAGGCUCCAGAGUGGUUGCUCUAAACCAUUUUGUUGAGGGCUGGUUUUGUGGUGUAGUAGGUUAAUCCUCCCCUGUGGUGCUGGCAUCCCAUAUGGGUGCUGGUUCAUGUCCUGGCUGCUUCUCUUCCAGUCUAGUUCUCUGCUAACAGCUUGGGACAGCAGUGGAAGAUGGCCCAAGUGUUUGGGUCCAUCACCCACGUAGGGGGCCAGAGGAAGCCCCUGGCUCCUAGCUUCGAAUUGACUGAGCUCUGCCAUUGUAGCCAUUUAGGGAGUGAACCAGCAGAUGGAAGACUUCUUUCUGUCUCUGUUGCUCUGCCUGUCAAAUAAAUAAAUAAAUCUUUAAAAAACAUUUUGUUAUUCUGUCUGUAGUAUUAAGUCACAAGGCAGAGAGAGAGAGAAUUGUCUUAUUCUAUAAAGAAACCUCAGAUUCAAGGGCCACUGCUCGGCAUUUUGGCUGUCAGGGCAAAUGUGCCAGUGGGCUUAGAUGGGUGGUCUCAAAUUCCUGCUUGAGAGUAGUUCAGGCAGCCAAGGUAUCCUCUCUUAUGCUUCUUUAGUAUGUUAGAGUGUUUCAGAAAGAUCAUAGAAAAAUGGAAGUAAAAAGUCAGUUUAUGGCCGGCGCCGCGGCUCACAAGGCUAAUCCUCUGCCUUGCGGCGCCGGCAUACCAGGUUCUAGUCCCGGUCGGGGCGCCGGAUUCUGUCCCGGUUGCCCCUCUUCCAGGCCAGCUCUCUGCUGUGGCCAGGGAGUGCAGUGGAGGAUGGCCCAAGUGCUUGGGCCCUGCACCCCAUGGGAGACCAGGAGAAGCACCUGGCUCCUGCCAUCAGAUCAGUGCGGUGCGCCGGCCGCGGUGGCCAUUGGAGGGUGAACCAACGGCAAAGGAAGACCUUUCUCUCUGUCUCUCUCUCUCUCUCACCAUCCACUCUGCCUGUCAAAAAAAAAAAAAAGUCAGUUUAUUUGGUGCAGAAAAAAAUUAAAAUCCACGUAUAGUUUUUUCAUAAUAUGCAUAUGAAAUUUUUGAAGUUAUACUGUUUACAUAUUUUUGAAAUAUGUGUAUAUAUAUACUUCAUAUGUAAAUAUUUAUAUACUUGCAUGUACUUUUGGAAGUGUAUAUGCUUAGGCUUCUUAUUCUAGCUUUUUCUUCCUACCCAUUCUUUUUUUCAAAUAUUAUUUGUUGAUUUAUUUUAUUUGAAAGGCAGACACAUACAUACCCAGAAUUCUCGUUCUUUGGUAUACUCUCCAAAUGGUUAUAACAGCCAGGGCUGGGCCAGGUGAAAGCUAGGAGCCGGGCACUCAAUCCAGGUCUCCCAUGUGGAGGUGGGCCCAAUCGGGCGAGUCACCUGCUGCCUCUCAAGGUGCAUAUUAGCAGUAAGCUGGAAUGGGAAGUGGACCUGGGACUUGAACCCAGGCCCUCCAGUAUGGGAUGUGGGCAUCCCAAGUGGUAUCUUAGCCCCUGCACCAAAUACCUAUCCCUCCUCCUACCUAUCCCUCCUCCUACACAUUCUUUUUUCCCCUGCACUUUUUUAUCUACUUACUUUUAUUUUUUUGACAGGUAGAUAGAGAUCUUCCAUUUGGUGGUUCACUCCUCAAAUAUCCACACCAGUUGGGUCUGGGCCAGGCCAAAGCUAGGAGCCUAGAACGCAAUCCAGGUCCUCUACCUGGGUAGCAGAGACCCAAGUAUUUGACCUAUCAUCUGCUGCUUUCCAGGUGUGCAGAAGCCUGGAACUGGAGAGAGAGUAGGGACUCCGAUAUGGGGUGCGAUCAUCCCAAGUUACAUCUUAACUGGUAUGCCAAAUGCCUGCCCUCCUACUCACCUUUUUUUUUUUUUUUUUUUAAGAUUUUUAUUUAUUUAUUUGGGAGGUAGAGUUAUAGAGUUGCAGAGAGUGAGAGGGAGAGACAGAGAGAAAGGUUUUCCAUCUGCUGGUUCACUCCCACAAUGGCUGUAACUGGGCUGAUCCUAAGCCAGGAGCCAGGCGCUUCUUCUGGGUCUCCAGUGCAGGUGCAGGGGCCCAAGCACUUGGGCCAUCUUCUGCUGCUUUCCCAGGCCAUAGCAGAGAGCUGGAUGGGAAGAGGAGCAGCUGGCACUAGAACUGGCACCCAUCUGGGAUCCUGGCACCACUGGCAGAGGAUUAACCUACUGCGCUACAGCACUCCCUCCCACCCCCACCCCUUGAUACAAUAGCUGUGAAUCCUUUUCCAAAGUCUAUACCUUCUUAAAUUGCCUUUAAGUAAACCCAGGCUUUGGCUCCCAGGCCCUCUGCCAGCCAUCCCCAUAGCUCACCUCCAUUGUUAAUGAUGAUUGCUGUUCUUUUCUGUACUCACGGAAAUGUUCUGGCUGUUCUUUGAAUACUCUGGCCUUGUAACUCUCUGGAGUCAUUAUUUGAGGCUGAAUGGACAAGGCUUAUUCCUUUUAACUUGACUAAAAGCCUUAGUGUUCUCAGACUUGUCCUGCCAAAUGCAGCCUCUUCAGGAACUUCCUUUAUGUUUGUGUAUAUGCAGUCUCUGUUGCUUGCAUAGGUCAUUUAUAUAUCCUCCUUCUUUCAGAUUGUAAACUGCUUUGAAGAUAGAAAUCUCAUUUUCAGCCUGUCACUUCUCUAAUGGCUUCACCUAGAGGACUUAAACAUUUUGACCUAUUUUUCUGUUACCAGAACACAUCUUCACUCUGUGUCUGCAGUGUGCAAGGCCUGGUUUGAUGCUGGUGUGGAUAUCAAGAGAUGUAAGGCAUACUUUCUGCCAUUAGGACCUUAUAAUCUUCGAAGAGCAUAAGACAGUGCACAUGAAAACUCAGAACAUAAGAAAAAUUUAGUUUGGCACAAUAAUGUUAGGGGUCAGGUGAGUACCUCAUCCAACCUCUGAAAGAAGUCAUUGGAUGUGAAAAUAGAAGAUACUUUGUUCUGGAUAAAGAGGAGUGUAGAGAGGGGAAGUUUUCAGGGACAGUGAGGACAAAUCUAUAGUAACAAUGGUCAGAAAAUGAAUGUAAAAAAUUAUUUGUGUCACUUCUAAAAAGUAGCUUCAAAAAAAAAAAAACACAUCAUUGGACAAUGAUAAAAAAGAAUGAAGACAA